rnacentral:misc_RNA from 1 species
ACGUUGCAAGGAGGAGACUGAUGGAAAAUGACAGUGAUUGGACAGACAGUGAUGAUGGUGAAGAACUAUAGAAAACUUGGGGAAACUUUUAAUAGUGGCCAUCAACAAGCAGUCAUUGAUUCCAGUGUUCCAGCCAAUGUAUCCCUCUCGUAGGUUAACUUUAAAGCAGGACUUAACUGUCAUGUGGGGGAAAAACAUGAAAUGGAGACGAUCACUUACCAGUGCACACAGUUGACUUGAGAAGAAAUUUCUUAUCAGUCAGGAAUUGGCCAAAAAGGAUGUUGAUACUGAUACAACUUCCUUGUAGCAACUUCAGACCAACGGAACUAGGGGAGGCAGUAAUUAUCACUGUUGACCUAGAAACCAUUGACCUAAUUCAAUAUGGGAAGAUGCCACAUGUCACACAAAGCCGCAUACCACAACAAAUUGCUGUAGCACAUAUAUCUAUGUCACACCUGAAAAGGAAAUUUCACCAGAGGCACAAAGGAUCACCAGGAUUGCAUGGAAUAUUCAGACACGAUGAUGAUAAAAAGCACAAUAGUCCAACACAUCUGUACCUGGUAUUAAGUCAACUGUAGAGAAAUUGUGUACUUGGCUUGAAAAGAUCCUAAAGUGAUUUUGGUAGCCCGUUAUGGAAGACAAUUUGAUUUUCCAGUUCUUGUCUGACCUCUACUGUGCACAAAAAUAACUAGGACAUUAUUCAGCUGAGUUUUUUCUAAAAAGUAUUUUUUUACCAGUGUUCAAGAAACUGUACCCUAAACAGUCAUACUUGCUAUGACACUACUUGGUAUCUGGUACAAUGCCUAUAACUGACAGACAGACAAAUUUAUUAUGAAAAACUGGGAAGGCCUGCCAAGAGUUUUCAUAUGUUAAAGAAAAAUUUCAAGCAAUGACAUAUACUCAUGAUAAAUUUGGUACCAUAGUGUUCAUUAUCUUAAGUAGAAAAUGACAAUUGUAAUUGGAAAUUCGAAUUGUGUUAUUUUACUCUAUGUUUAAGAAAAUUAAUAUACAUUGUAUUCAAACUUGUAAAUUUUAUCAUUUGUUAAAAUGUUAUAUUAUAGCUUUAAGUCUUAAUACUCUCUUUUUACAAUCUGCCUAAAGAAACACUUUAGUUGUUCUUGUUUAUUAUUUAGCCAUUUCCUUGAUUAAAAUACACAACAAACUUCUACCUCGAGACUUUCUAAGGCUGACAAGUUAUUACUUUCUUUGAUUUUGCUUAAAUUUGUUAAUUAUUGUUAAAUACUUCUGUUCAAAAUUUAAUAAGGUGUAAAAACCUUUAAAUAAUACCCUUGAGCAACAGAUGUUAUCUUUUAAUAAUUAGUAAAGUAAGAAGACAACCUUUCUGUCCAAUGCCUGAAAUAUUUUUUAUAAAUAUUUCAUGACUUUCUGAAUAAAAAUGAUUAAAUUAAAACUAUAAGUAAAGUAUACAAACCCCAAACUUUUAAGGAGCUAAAAGACAAAAUUUCAUUUCAACUCAUUUAUAUAAUUAACUUUGUGAUAUUUUUCUUAGUGAUAAGUUUCUCAGUGAUAACUAGACAUUUAAUUUUAUAUCUGUGUAGAUUUUUGUACACAAGACAAUAUUUAUAAAGAUUUUUUUUAUGUUUUAACCUACCUAAUUAUUCAUAUUAGAGAAAACUAAUUUUAAUUACUUUAUAAGUGUACAUGUAAAUCCUAUUUCACUAUACUUAUAUAUUAGGCUACAUAUCGAAACUGGACAUUGGAUUAAAUCAAUUAGCACACCUGUAGGUGAUAGAAAAUGUACUGUAUGCAAUGCUUUAGAGGAUGAGUUCCACUUUGUAUUAGAAUGUCAAAUAUAUAAUGAACUAAGAAUACAGUUGAUACCGAAUAUGUAUAGGUUACGCCCAAAUAUGCAAAAGUUUGUAUCACUAUUAAAUACAGAAAAUGUUAAAAUCCAGAAAAAAAUUGGCAAAAUAUGUAUAUUAUGCCUUCGAAAAUAGACAAAACAGCUUAUAUGCUAAUAAUUAAAGUUUAUGCCACAUGUACAUGUUUAUAUAUUAAUUUGUGUUUAAGUUAACUGUGUAUUAUCUGUAGUGUUGUAUUUUCGUACAUUGUUAAGCGUAACUUCAAUAUUACAGGCAAUGUAUAUCCCGAAUCUCUCUCUUUUGACAUAAAAUAGCAAAUAAUUCGGGUCUUAUAAACUUAAUAAUUAUGCUUAUUGUUUAUAAGUCCAGACCGAUCUUAUAUUUCAUUUCGUUAAGAUCAGUCUGGACUAGUACUAGUACACUGUACUAGAAGCUUACAUGAAAAUUUAAUCGAUGCUGAAGAAAAACUCAUCAACUAGUCACAUGUAAUAUAAAAAUUGUAUGUACAUUCUCCAUUAAAAUUUGUUUAUAAUGAGAAUAUGCUAUGAAUGUUUGCCAUGUUCAUUUUAUAUGUUUAUAUGUAAAUGCCUCAUGGACCAUAUGGUCCAAUGGGUUUUUUUCUGAAAUAAACUUAUCUAAUAUUGAAAGCUAAGGACUCCUAUGGGAAUAAGUGAAAUUGUUACUUUCAUGGUUUAUCCCAGGCAGAAAGAUCAUCAUUUUUUCCUGAUAUUUAUGUAUUAGCUUAGUACAAACAUAUAAGGGUUUACUGCAUAUUUAUUAAUUCUAAUAUUUUUGAUUUCUGUACCACUUUGUAUUUCUGUUAUAAUUGGAUCUUAUAUCUGAAUAAAUUUGAACUGAACUGAAUUUUAAACUGAACUGAAUUCUAAACUGGAACCAAACUGAAUUUUGAACUGAACUGGAACCAAACUGAACUGAACUGAAUUCUAAACUGGAACCAAACUGAACUGAAAUGAAUUUUAAACUGAACUGAAUUUUAAACUGGAACCAAACUGAAUUUUGAACUGAACUGGAACCAAACUGAACUGAACUGAAUUCUAAACUGGAACCAAACUGAACUGAAAUGAAUUUUAAACUGAACUGAAUUCUAAACUGGAACCAGACUGAACAGAAAUGAAUUUUGAACUGAACUGGAACUAAACUGAACUGAACUGAAUUUGAAACAGAAACUGAACUGAAUUUUGAACUGAAACUGAACUGAACUGAAUAUAGCUGGGUAAAAAACAACAGUACAGCUUGCAUUAAGAGACCACCAAAGGGAAGGAAAAAACAUGUUCUCUUUAUGCCACAUAGUUUGUUCUUUGAUAACAGAAAAAAGGAACUGAACAAGUGGUCUCUUAAUGCAAGAAGCCUCUAAAUCAUAUGUACCUUGAUGAAACAUUAUGCUUUUGUGCUGCAAAUUUUGUAAUGUAGUUUUGUUGUGUCUAUGAUGAUUUCUCUAAAUAAACUUUUUUAAAAACAUUA